rnacentral:other from 1 species
AAUCCCCUGCGAUGUGCGUGAUUGACAGUUCUUUUUUUGAGCCAACACCUUAACCUUGGGGGCCUUUCCUUGUUUGCCGUGUGCACGUCCACCAGAGUCCCUAACGGGGGUGGAAAGCCUUUAAGAACAACAGGGCGCCCACUUUGGCAAAAGGUUCAAAAAGGGGGUUGACACGGCAUAGGCGGGGGUUCU